UUCGUAGGCGGUGUGGCAAGUCGGGAGUGAAAUUUCUGGGCUUAACUCAGAACCUGCUUCCGAAACUGCUGUGCUCGAGUGUGGGAGAGGCGCGUGGAAUUGCAGGUGUAGCGGUGAAAUGCGUAGAUAUCUGCAGGAACACCCGUGGCGAAAGCGGCGCGCUGGACCACUACUGACGCUGAGGAACGAAAGCUAGGGGAGCAAACG
rnacentral:rRNA from 1 species